GGAGGAUUGACCGAGUGGCUAAGGAGCCGCAUUGGAAAUGCGGUAAGGUGUAACAGCCCCGUGGGUUCGAGUCCCAUGUCCUCCGCCA
rnacentral:tRNA from 4 species